AUUGAACGCUGGCGGCAGGCCUAACACAUGCAAGCCGGACGGUAGCACAGAGAGCUUGCUCUUGGGUGACGAGUGGCGGACGGGUGAGUAAUGUCUGGGGAUCUGCCCGAUAGAGGGGGGUAACUACUGGAAACGGUAGCUAAUACCGCAUAACGUCGCAAGACCAAAGUGGGGGACCUUCGGGCCUCACACCAUCGGAUGUGCCCAGAUGGGAUUAGCUAGUAGGUGGGGUAAUGGCUCACCUAGGCGACGAUCCCUAGCUGGUCUGAGAGGAUGACCAGCCACACUGGAACUGAGACACGGUCCAGACUCCUACGGGAGGCAGCAGUGGGGAAUAUUGCACAAUGGGCGCAAGCCUGAUGCAGCCAUGCCGCGUGUAUGAAGAAGGCCUUCGGGUUGUAAAGUACUUUCAGCGGGGAGGAAGGCGGUGAAGUUAAUAACUUCACCGAUUGACGUUACCCGCAGAAGCAGCACCGGCUAACUCCGUGCCAGCAGCCGCGGUAA
rnacentral:rRNA from 1 species